rnacentral:rRNA from 1 species
AGAGUUUGAUCAUGGCUCAGAUUGAACGCUGGCGGCAGGCCUAACACAUGCAAGUCGAGCGGAUGAGAAGAGCUUGCUCUUCGAUUCAGCGGCGGACGGGUGAGUAAUACCUAGGAAUCUGCCUGGUAGUGGGGGACAACGUUUCGAAAGGAACGCUAAUACCGCAUACGUCCUACGGGAGAAAGCAGGGGACCUUCGGGCCUUGCGCUAUCAGAUGAGCCUAGGUCGGAUUAGCUAGUUGGUGAGGUAAUGGCUCACCAAGGCUACGAUCCGUAACUGGUCUGAGAGGAUGAUCAGUCACACUGGAACUGAGACACGGUCCAGACUCCUACGGGAGGCAGCAGUGGGGAAUAUUGGACAAUGGGCGAAAGCCUGAUCCAGCUAUGCCGCGUGUGUGAAGAAGGUCUUCGGAUUGUAAAGCACUUUAAGUUGGGAGGAAGGGCAGUAAGCGAAUACCUUGCUGUUUUGACGUUACCGACAGAAUAAGCACCGGCUAACUCUGUGCCAGCAGCCGCGGUAAUACAGAGGGUGCAAGCGUUAAUCGGAAUUACUGGGCGUAAAGCGCGCGUAGGUGGUUCG